rnacentral:lncRNA from 1 species
UUGUAAGCAACGCGCCCAGGAUUCGCUGCUGAAAGUGACGGUCAGGGCCAGGUACGGACCGGCUGCUCAUAAACGAACGACCUCACGAACGACUGACAGGUGCCACACGAAAAAGCAGGGCUACAGAUGCGGUGCUAGAUGAUUAACAUACAUUAAAUACAACUGAACUAGAUACGACAUGGACACCUGCCGGGCUGACAUUAUUUGACGCCAGCAUUGCUAAGGACGCAAUGCUACGGGCAUUUAGGCAAUGCUUGGUAUCAUUAUAUGCCUUGGAGGGGCAAGAUCUUUAUGGACUUCGGGGGAUCAAUCCACUUUUUGCAGACGGCUAACGAGGACAAGUAUCAUCACGAAGUACUAAUUUACAUGGUCUGUGAUUUGGAUGAUAAACCCUUUAUGCGUCGUCCUGCACCCGAACUGAGCUCUUCAGUUCCACGAUAUCGAGUUGACGCUGUUAGACUACAAGAGCACCUUCAGCUCUUUGCCAACAACAUUACGUGUUUGCCCUCCUCCGUUUCCAGUUUCUGCAGUAUCUGUCCUCAUUGCGUUCCCUUCCCGUUUUUCUUCUUCUUCCUGGCUUCCCCCGGCAGCUCUCCAGCGCUUCGUGUGCACUUCGCGUAGCUGCAAUAAACGGUGUCCAUAGGACAAGGAUUGUGGAGCCCUGCAAGGCUUCCUCGGCGAUUGGAACCCGCAUCCUCACACCCCGCUUCCCAUUCAUUCCUGCAGCUUCAGUGCGCAUCCCACUCUUCCCACAGUCGCCUCCUUAUCCACCACUGAAGGUUACAUGUGAUGGACGAAAUGCAACGUAUAAGUGCUACGAUGUUUUACGACAAAGCAUUGCAGCCAACUACAUGUUUUUUCGAGAGAUAGGUAAUAAGGUUGCAGGGUGCAGCGUUUUUGUUGCCGCCAGACUGGAUGAAAGGGUGCACUCGGGCCUUCUGGUUUCCGCUGCCAGUGUCGUCCACUCUCUGUACUCUUCAACUAGCCUGUUAAAGUUAAAACGGUCCAAAGGCGCAUGUAUCUGAACGCAUGGAUAUUACGUUCCCAAUUUUGUGUUUGCCAUUUGUAAUUAGUCAAAUGAAUAUGGGACGAAUCGCGUAUAACAGUUUUAAAGCGUAGUUUCGGAGCCCAAGCCGUACCAAGCCGGCCCCGGGUAGCUGACAGCCAUCAUCCUGUGGGCCCACGGAUUACUGGGCUCAACUUCAGCGCCGAGGGUACAUGUCUUCGCAGAGAAUUUAUAGACCAAUG